CCUACGGGAGGCAGCAGCAGGGAAUAUUGCGCAAUGAGCGAAAGCUUGACGCAGCGACACCGCGUGUGGGAUGACGGAUCUAGGUUUGUAAACCACUUUCAGGAGGGAAGAAAAUGACGGUACCUCCACAAGAAGCCCCGGCCAACUACGUGCCAGCAGCCGCGGUAAUACGUAGGGGGCGAGCGUUGUCCGGAUUUAUUGGGCGUAAAGAGCUCGUAGGCGGUUCAACAAGUCGGUCGUGAAGGUUCAGGGCUCAACCCUGAAAUGUCGAUCGAUACUGUUGUGACUAGGAUACGGUAGAGGUGAGUGGAAUUCCGAGUGUAGCGGUGAAAUGCGUAGAUAUUCGGAGGAACACCAAUUGCGAAGGCAGCUCACUGGGCCGCUAUCGACGCUGAGGAGCGAAAGCUAGGGGAGCAAACAGGAUUAGAUACCCUGGUAGUCCUAGCUGUAAACGAUGGAUACUAGACGUAGGAACUGGAUUGACGGUUUCUGUGUCGCAGCUAACGCGUUAAGUAUCCCGCCUGGGGAGUACGGUCGCAAGACUAAAACUCAAAGGAAUUGACGG
rnacentral:rRNA from 1 species